UUAGGUUGAUCAUGGCUCAGAGUGAACGCUGGCGGCAGGCCUAACACAUGCAAGUCGAACGGCAGCACAGUCCCGCAAGGGAUUGGGUGGCGAGUGGCGGGACGGGUGAGGAAUACAUCGGAAUCUACCUUGUCGGGGGGGAUAACGUAGGGAAACUUACGCUAAUACCGCAUACGAACUAUGGUUGAAAGCGGCGGACCGCAAGGCGUCGCGCGAUUGGAUGAGCCGAUGUCCGAUUAGCUAGUUGGCGGGGUAAAGGCCCACCAAGGCGACGAUCGGUAGCUGGUCUGAGAGGAUGAUCAGCCACACUGGAACUGAGACACGGUCCAGACUCCUACGGGAGGCAGCAGUGGGGAAUAUUGGACAAUGGGGGCAACCCUGAUCCAGCCAUGCCGCGUGUGUGAAGAAGGCCUUCGGGUUGUAAAGCACUUUUGUUGGGGAAGAAAAGCACUGAGUUAAUACCUUGGUGUCAUGACGGUACCCAAAGAAUAAGCACCGGCUAACUUCGUGCCAGCAGCCGCGGUAAUACGAAGGGUGCAAGCGUUACUCGGAAUUACUGGGCGUAAAGCGUGCGUAGGCGGUUUGUUAAGUCUGUCGUGAAAGCCCCGGGCUCAACCUGGGAAUGGCGAUGGAUACUGGCGAGCUAGAGUACGGUAGAGGAGAGUGGAAUUCCCGGUGUAGCAGUGAAAUGCGUAGAGAUCGGGAGGAACAUCAGUUGCGAAGGCGGCUCUCUGGACCAGUACUGACGCUGAGGCACGAAAGCGUGGGGGGCAAACAGGAUUAGAUAUCCUGGUAGUCCACGCCCUAAACGAUGCGAACUGGACGUUGGGAGCAAUUAGGCUCUCAGUGUCGAAGCUAACGCGUUAAGUUCGCCGCCUGGGGAGUACGGUCGCAAGAGGGAAACUCAAAGGAAUUGACGG
rnacentral:rRNA from 1 species